CUGUUAUGAUAUCCUGGGUGUGGGGGGGUCCCAUGACCCCUACAGUGAAGACGAGAUAUGAACAAACAGGUAUCGAUCGACAAACAGGUAUCGAUCGAUAAACAGGUAUCGAUCGAUAAACAGGUAUCGAUCCACAAACAGGUAUCGAUCGAUAAACAGGUAUCGAUCAACAAACAGGUAUCGAUCGAUAAACAGCAGCACAAUAUCUAUGCUGUUCAAUGUGGUAGGCUAUGUCUGUCACGGAUUAAUUGAUGUUAUUAGUACAUGUUGUCAUUUCUACAUAAAAGGUUUUAAGUCAGGGACAGUAACAUUACAUGUUAUCUGUGAUACAAACUGACAGCCCUGUCAUCAACCCUGUCACCCUGUUUGGUGCAGAGAUAGCGAACAGAAUGAACUCAUGCAGACAUCUGAUCAAUGGAACUUUGAUGUACCUGUCCAGGUUGUGACUCAGAUAGGUCAUCCCAUCCAAGUAUUGCCCAGGCAGGGAGUCGUCUCCCAGCUCUCGCAGGUCCUCUGCCCUUAGGUACUCUCCCCCGUCUCCUGUCAUGGUAUCUUCACCUGUAGAGAGGGACGGGCUAGUGUCUCAGUGUCUCAAAACUCGAUAUGUCCCAGUAAGACAUUUGAUCCUUUUAAAACGUUAAUACUCAACCUCACUGAGACACAUUGCUAUAGUUAUCAACAGGACAGCAAACAAGGGACCAAUGUCAGCUUCAAGGCAGAGUGGCAUACACAGCAUCUGGCUGCUGCCCACUGCUGAUCAUGAUUUCAUAUUCAAAAAGUUUGAAAAUUGUAGUGCAAAAGGUUAUGGUUAGUAUCUCACACACACACUUAUCACAUCAAUUGUUAUUAAUACCACUGAUGCAUACUAGUAAACAAUACCUUGGAUGAGUAAAAAUAUGUACAUUACAGCCAAAAUUAUGAUUGUCGUUAUCACUCAAGGUUGAUGUUACACUGAUUGUCUACCCAUAAAAGCAGGAAUUGUAUGCUUGCAUAUAAAGACUUUUGGUGAACACACACAAACCAUGCUGUUAGACGGCUAAAGCUAGAGUCUAAGGUCCCACACCAAGCUUGCUAUAACCAGACAUGUCAAAGGGCAACACAAGCCCUCAUAUCACCUUUAAAACAGAACCGACAGAACUCAUUCCUGCUUUAACAUGCCUGAAAGAGGAUGACACCUCAGGCUCCUGGCCUCAGUGCUUAACAUUCCACUGCUUAUGGUAGAUCACAUUAAGGAGAUAUUGUCUAGAAAUGUCACUGAAAGGUCCCUUCCAGAAGUAAUGCAAGUUCUGUCAAUUCUAUUUUGGCAACCAGGUACCUUCCAAUUCCACUGAGACGUCUGAAUAAGGGUCCUCUUCAAUCUGUUGCAAGGCUACACAACACACAGCCACUAAGCACCAGUGGGCAAAAUUCUUGAAAAACUACAUGGCCCAUAAUUCACCACACCAUUCCCCAUUGUCUGCCUGCCAUUUUUAUGUGACAGGUCCUCUCACACAAACAUACAUACCCACGUUACAUUAUGUUACAGACUUGUGAACUGCUGCAGUUAAUCAUGCACUGAUGGAUAGGAUUCACUUACCCUCCUCAUCAGAAACAUCCAAGACUUCAGUCAUUGUCUCCGGAACAUUCAGCUUAUGUUUCUCAGUAACGGUCUAUGAUUGGGACAUUAACAGACAACAAAAUAUCCGAGUUGAAAAGAAACCCACAUGGAAAUGGCGCUUUCCCAAAGGCACUAAUAACUGCCAAGGCUGCCAUUAAACCACAGUAAAAAAAAAACUCUGGAUGCCUCUGGAUGCCUCUGUGUCAAACAACAACCUUUUAAAGAUAAAAUAACUGAGAACGUUGUUUCCAAGCAAUUUUUCUUUAACUCAAGAGGUCAUUAAAGACAUUAAAGAUUUCAGACAGAGGGUGAAUAGAGAUGUACUAUUCUAGUAGACCCCAAAAUAAAAUUACAAACAUUGGAAAUGGAUGGAAAUAGAUCCUGUUUAAAAAUAUAGCCAGAAUCGAUUAUUCAGUGUCCCAAAAAGACCAAGAGAAGCUCAUCCAUGCUUUUAUUUCCAGUGGGGUGGACUACUGUAAUGGUAUCUUAACUGGUCUGCCCAAAAUGCCAUUUAGCACCUGCAGCUCAUUCCAAAUGCUGCUGAUUGAGAGAACAGAGCACAUUACUCUACUUCUAAAAUCUUUACACUGGCUUCCAGUAUAGUGACAUAAUCAAUUUUAAAGUGCUGCUACUAGUUUAUAAAUCACUGAAUGGUUCAGGGCCAGAAUACAUCUCUGAUAUGUUUAAAGAAUAUAAACCAAGUGAGGCUCUUAGAUCCAUGGACUCAGGUCAGCUAGUGGAGCCCAGAGUUGAAACUAAACAUGCAUUAGCUGCAUGCAUGCAACUGGCACAAAAUGUAGCAAUCCAGGUUAAAAACAUUUCUCAUUUCAUGCGGCUAUGUUUGAGCUCUAAGAUUUGCACUCUAGCAGUAACUAUUCUUACUGCAUUUUACUUGUAAUUAUACUACUCAUCUUUUAAUUAUGGUACUCAUAUUUGAAUUGCUAUUUUAUAUACUUUGUACUUAUAUUUAUAUAUAUGCUCAUAUUUUUAUCUUUCAGUGUUUUUAACUCCUUGUGUGGUUGCUCCUUGCUUGUAUGUGUCAAGCACUCCGAUUUUCCUCUAUUUGAGUAUGAAAUGUGCUAUACAAAUAAAUAUCCCUUGCACACAUUGGGCAUAUGUGCUACAAUAAUUCAAGAGACAUCAGGUCACUUACUGUAGUGGUGGUGAUAAUUUCCUCUGUGACUACUUUCAGUGUGUCCACUACUGAGAUGUAGCCAAGGCGUUUGGCAAUGGACAGAGCAGUGUUUCCAUUCUAUGCAGGAAUAAAAGAUAAGAAGAACCUCAUCACAACUAUAAUGACCACUUAGCAAGAUCAUCAACAUCAUCCUAAUCAAUAUACUGUAUGAUAGAUGCAUGGGCAUAGACUGGCAUAAAUGUAUUACCACAGUGGUGGCAUUGGGUUUGGCUCCAUGUUGUAGCAGCACAUUGAUAACAUGUGUGUUCCCUUGUUGAGCUGCUUGAUGAAGAGGUGUGUAGCCACUCUGGAAAGGACAGAUAUCAGCAUUUUAAAUAUUUCAUUUUUGAUUGAUUGAUUGAUUGAUUGAUUGAUUGAUUGAUUGAUUGAUUUUACAUGAAAUAUAGAAUAUACUUGUGGUGAGCCAACAGAUAUGAAAGUCGUCAGGGAUUAAAUAAAAUGGUCUGACACUUAUUUCCAUCAUGUCCAUAGUCAAUUCACUGUUGAUAAUAGUCAUCUAUUCCUUGAAAUGUCAUAAAGUCCUUUGGAAAGAUUUACCUUUGUUUUGGCAUUGACACUGGCACCUUGCUGCACGAGGAAGUUUACCAUUUUGACAUUUCCAUAGUGACAGGCUACAAUAAGUGGGGUGUAGCCAAGCUGUGGGAAAGAGACAUAAAUGUAACCAGGGCAAUGAAGACCAUGUUAUGAAACCAACAUUUAACAACAAGAUGUGACCCCUGGAGUGUGAGGCUCCUCUGAACCCAAUGCAGGUCUACAUUAUGAUAAAUCAUUGCUAUGUGGCACCAAAAUAAUAAACAUGCUCUGCCACAGGAGUGAAUGGUUAGAGAUCUGACUCAUGAGGCUGUUUAAAGAGUGAAUGGUUUAAGAUCAGACUUGUGAGGCUGUUUAAAGAGUGAAUGGUUUAAGAUCAGACUUGUGAGGCUGUGUAAAGAGUGAAUGGUUUAAGAUCUGGCUCAUGAGGCUGUGCUUCUCUUACCUUUGUCUGAUGAUCGAGGUUAGCGUUAUUCUUGGCCAGUGUCUCUGCAGCACUCACUCUGUCCUCCUGUGCUGCGAGGUGCAGUGAUGUCAGUCCACUCUGUGACACAGAACAGUGAGACUCAGUACAUAUCUAAAGGUCCCACUAUUAUAAAGCACAAUAAGUUUCAUUGAUCAAAAAACCAGUGAACAAUACUCGUAUCCUAGCCUACUGAAGGAUAUGAUUGCAUGGUUGGAA
ensembl:lncRNA